rnacentral:rRNA from 1 species
GACAGAGGGUGCAAACGUUGUUCGGAUUUACUGGGCGUAAAGCGCGUGUAGGCGGCUUUGCAAGUCGGAUGUGAAAGCCCUCGGCUUAACCGAGGAAGUGCAUUCGAAACUAAGGGACUUGAAUACUGGAGAGGAUGGCGGAAUUCCCGGUGUAGAGGUGAAAUUCGUAGAUAUCGGGAGGAACACCAGCGGCGAAGGCGGCCAUCUGGACAGAUAUUGACGCUGAGGUGCGAAAGCGUGUGGAGCAAACAGG